UCGAACGAGUUCUGAUUAUUGAAAGGUGCUUGCAUCUUGAUUUAAUUUUGAACGAGUGGCGGACGGGUGAGUAACACGUGGGUAACCUGCCCUUAAGUGGGGGAUAACAUUUGGAAACAGAUGCUAAUACCGCAUAAAUCCAAGAACCGCAUGGUUCUUGGCUGAAAGAUGGCGUAAGCUAUCGCUUUUGGAUGGACCCGCGGCGUAUUAGCUAGUUGGUGAGGUAACGGCUCACCAAGGCAAUGAUACGUAGCCGAACUGAGAGGUUGAUCGGCCACAUUGGGACUGAGACACGGCCCAAACUCCUACGGGAGGCAGCAGUAGGGAAUCUUCCACAAUGGACGCAAGUCUGAUGGAGCAACGCCGCGUGAGUGAAGAAGGCUUUCGGGUCGUAAAACUCUGUUGUUGGAGAAGAAUGGUCGGCAGAGUAACUGUUGUCGGCGUGACGGUAUCCAACCAGAAAGCCACGGCUAACUACGUGCCAGCAGCCGCGGUAAUACGUAGGUGGCAAGCGUUAUCCGGAUUUAUUGGGCGUAAAGCGAGCGCAGGCGGUUUUUUAAGUCUGAUGUGAAAGCCC
rnacentral:rRNA from 2 species